rnacentral:rRNA from 1 species
UGCCAGACUCCUACGGGAGGCAGCAGUGGGGGAUAUUGCACAAUGGGGGAAACCCUGAUGCAGCAACGCCGCGUGAGUGAAGAAGUAUUUCGAUAUGUAAAGCUCUAUCAGCAGGGAAGAAGAUGACGGUACCUGAGUAAGAAGCCCCGGCUAACUACGUGCCAGCAGCCGCGGUAAUACGUAGGGGGCAAGCGUUAUCCGGAUUUACUGGGCGUAAAGGGAGCGCAGGCGGCGCGCCAAGUCUGAUGUGAAACCCCCGGGCUCAACCCCGGGCAUGCAUUGGAAACUGGCGGGCUGGAGUGCCGGAGAGGUAAGCGGAAUUCCUAGUGUAGCGGUGAAAUGCGUAGAUAUUAGGAGGAACACCAGUGGCGAAGGCGGCUUACUGGACGGCAACUGACGCUGAGGCUCGAAAGCGUGGGGAGCAAACAGGAUUAGAUACCCGCGUAC